rnacentral:lncRNA from 1 species
CUUAAGUAUAGAGUUUAACUGUGUCAUUUUUAUUAGCAGGAUAUUCUAUCAGCAGAAAAGUUCAAAAAGCUGACUGAAUAACCCCUCUCACGUCAGUAAGGACGAAGUAAUACGGACAAUGUUCUCUCUGGUCACGUAUCCUUCAUGAAAUGUAAAUAAAUACUAGGAUGUGAAGCAUGUACUUCUGCAGAAUACAGCGUUGUCUGGAAAUAGACUCUUGCCAGUUACAGCUGUAAUGGAGAAAGCAAACCUUUCAACACUGUUCUUCUGUUGGCUGCUUUGAAAAUGUUUGUGGAAGUGCUUUGCCAGUCAGCAUAAGGCUUCAGGCAUCCUUGUAAUGUAAUAGCUGAUGGAGUUAUACACAGCCAUUGUUUGUGGCAGGUGACAGCACAGCUUUGCAUUAAUAUCAGGUAUUUGCAGACAGUGGCAGUUGGAAUUGCUUGGCCCAGAAAGAAAUUGUUGCUCUGCCAAAAGCAACAAGGAACCUUCUGAUGACUACAGCAGUACCAAAAGUUUGAUUCAGGAUAUUGCUGUCUUCUGGAGAAACAACAUAUCUCAGCUUGCUGGAGCUACUACCAGGUCAUGCAACACCAGGCAAGUUCAAAUAUAAAAGCAAACUUAAGAAAGCAAAUUGAUUGUAUAGCAACAAAGAAUUAAGCUCUUGAUUAC